AACCUGACUUGAUUUUGAAUUCAUUUAGUCUUCGGUGAACUUAUACUUGUGUACUAUAUUUACAGGUCUACUUCUACUAUUUUGGCUCAAGGCAAGACCCAAAGGAAACCGCUCCUGUGUAAAACCACUGAUCUAAAACAAAUGAUGCCAGCUUCACAUUAGGUCUGAAUUGGGCUACUAAAUCUCAGAUCCUCAGAGGUUGCCUUUGGAGCCUUUCAACAGCAUCCCUGGCAGUUGAAGAAGCCAUGAACAGAAUGAACCAGCUGUACUUCCAUAGGAAAGUGCAGCAACAUGAACACACAGGCUGGUGCCUUGUAAUUCUGCUUUGCCUACCCCUAGCGAUGGGUUGUUUCUAUCUAUUGAGCGCAGACUGCUGAAGUCCACAUGGA
rnacentral:lncRNA from 1 species